UGCAAGUCGAACGAUGACUUCUGUGCUUGCACAGAAUGAUUAGUGGCGAACGGGUGAGUAACACGUGAGUAACCUGCCCUUGACUUCGGGAUAAGCCUGGGAAACCGGGUCUAAUACCGGAUACGACCUCCUGGCGCAUGCCAUGGGGGUGGAAAGCUUUAUGCGGUUUUGGAUGGACUCGCGGCCUAUCAGCUUGUUGGUUGGGGUAAUGGCCCACCAAGGCGACGACGGGUAGCCGGCCUGAGAGGGUGACCGGCCACACUGGGACUGAGACACGGCCCAGACUCCUACGGGAGGCAGCAGUGGGGAAUAUUGCACAAUGGGCGGAAGCCUGAUGCAGCGACGCCGCGUGAGGGAUGACGGCCUUCGGGUUGUAAACCUCUUUCAGCAGGGAAGAAGCGAAAGUGACGGUACCUGCAGAAGAAGCGCCGGCUAACUACGUGCCAGCAGCCGCGGUAAUACGUAGGGCGCAAGCGUUAUCCGGAAUUAUUGGGCGUAAAGAGCUCGUAGGCGGUUUGUCGCGUCUGCUGUGAAAGCCCGGGGCUCAACCCCGGGUCUGCAGUGGGUACGGGCAGACUAGAGUGCAGUAGGGGAGACUGGAAUUCCUGGUGUAGCGGUGAAAUGCGCAGAUAUCAGGAGGAACACCGAUGGCGAAGGCAGGUCUCUGGGCUGUAACUGACGCUGAGGAGCGAAAGCAUGGGGAGCGAACAGGAUUAGAUACCCUGGUAGUCCAUGCCGUAAACGUUGGGCACUAGGUGUGGGGGACAUUCCACGUUUUCCGCGCCGUAGCUAACGCAUUAAGUGCCCCGCCUGGGGAGUACGGCCGCAAGGCUAAAACUCAAAGGAAUUGACGGGGGCCCGCACAAGCGGCGGAGCAUGCGGAUUAAUUCGAUGCAACGCGAAGAACCUUACCAAGGC
rnacentral:rRNA from 1 species